rnacentral:rRNA from 1 species
UACGGGGGGGGCAAGCGUUGUUCGGAAUUACUGGGCGUAAAGGGCGCGUAGGCGGCUUUUCAAGUCGGGCGUGAAAGCCCUCGGCUCAACCGAGGAAGUGCACCCGAAACUGCUGAGCUUGAGUGCCGGAGAGGAUGGCGGAAUUCCCCAAGUAGAGGUGAAAUUCGUAGAUAUGGGGAGGAACACCGGUGGCGAAGGCGGCCAUCUGGACGGUAACUGACGCUGAGACGCGAAAGCGUGGGGAGCAAACAGG